CUGAAAUAUUGCUAAAAGCGGCAUAAAGCCAAACUCAUUCACAUAUGACAUAACUGAAGUUCAAUGCAGGUGAAGUUCUUCUCACUCUACAUAAAAUAGGUACAUGUAGAGUAAUGCAAAAUAAAAUGAACUCAUCCAACAGCAUUAGUAACACAUUUGAGAUAGUCAACAAGUAUAUGCCAGGAAAUAACAACUUUGGUAUUUGAUAUAGAAAUUUAAACUUUUUAUGAAGUGCAAUAUUACAAAAUAAAAACCAAAAACUCUGGAGAAUAACCAGUCUUGGUCAUCUGAUGAAACAGGUUCCAUAGAAGGCAACAUAGUGUUGAAAUGUAUAUGAAUAUAUACCAGUAGUUGAUAAAUAUAAAUUUUGACCUGAAUCUUGAACUUACUAAGACUGGCAAAUGGCCUGAGACAAGGGGAGUGAGGAGAUAGACCUUUGUUUGUCUGAAUUAGGUCUGAUAUACUUAGUUGCCUUAUGGGUACUGUCAAGUAGGAAUUCCAGGUUAGAAAAAGACCCAUCAACUUAUGCUUGUCAAGGGACACAUUGCCUAUAUAUUGCUCAGCCCUGUGUUAAACACCAACUCUGAGAUACACCUAUGCCAUGGCUCUAUUUACUUGAGAGAAAACUGUAACCUGUACUCGGACCUUCCAAACAAUAUAACCUUGACCAUCACCAAACAUGGUUGCAACUGGUUGAACAAGUAAUCAUUUCGUGAAAAUAUUUUGUCAACAAAGGUUAUGAUAAUUCCUGGGUAUAAUAUUUUUUAAAGUUAAUUUCAAGUGAAUUUUAUCUCUAAGUCUUUGAGCUUAAACUUUUCUCAAACCAAAGAAAAUCAAAUAUGAAAAACAUUUAUUACAACUGCUUAACAUUUUUUUUCACAAAGUGCUUCUUAAAUCAAAAUGAAACUCGAAGUAUUAACUUUUCCUUGAGUCGUGUAAAUAUUCAGCAAUACUCACAUUCUAAUAAUGUUAAUACCUACAGUUUUAAGUAACUAAUAUCCCAAGUACAGGUAGAUGCUUUCAUCCAAAGCUUAUUGCUUUAGAAAUGACAGCAUUGCUAACCAGUGUGUGUGAUGAAUGUCCUCCCUAAUACCUAAUAUAUCUGGAGACUGUAUUUCCCUGUGGUGGCCUUGUUUACACAGCCUGGUGUUGACAGUAUGUUAGAUACAAUGUAAACAACUUGUGAUGAUAUAUGUGAUCUUCCUCUCAGUCCACAUUUACCCACACAUGUAUUAUCAGACUGCCUGUGGGGUGGUGGGGUAGCCUAGUGGUUAAAGCGUUGGCUCGUCACGCCGAAGACCCGGGUUCGAAUCCCCACAUGGGUACAAUGUGUGAAGCUCAUUUCUGGUGUCCCCAGCCGUGAUGUUGCUGGAAUAUUGCUAAAACAGCGUAAAACCAAACUCAGUCAGUCAGAAUGCCUGCAUUAUACCUCGCGUUUGUCCCCACACACCAUCUGGGGUAUGUGUUGAUGAACACGGUGACUGACUGUUUCUAACAGCUGUGAAAAAAAACUUAUUUUUCUGUACACCUUUAGGUAAAUUGAUAUUAAUUUGUAUGUACAGAUAAUAAGAUGUGAUCGAGUUGUUCAUUAAAUUAUGUUUAAUGUAAUGAAGCACUGUGAAUUCAGA